rnacentral:misc_RNA from 1 species
GAUCUCUUCUGCAUAUCCCUUGUCACAAAAUUGCUUGGCAGAAUAUAUUACCAUGUUGAUGGUGCAAAGAAUCCUGGAACUUUGCCUCCCAAUGUAUCAGCGGCUGUUAAUGGUGUGGCAUUCUGUGGAACUUUAUCAGGCCAACUCUUCUUUGGUUGGCUUGGUGACAAGAUGGGUCGGAAAAAGGUCUAUGGGAUAACCCUUAUACUCAUGGUGUUAUGUUCCGUUUGCUCAGGCCUUUCCUUUGGAAAGGACCCAAAAGGGGUUAUGGUAACACUUUGCUUCUUCAGAUUCUGGCUUGGGUUUGGUAUUGGCGGUGACUACCCACUUUCUGCCACUAUCAUGUCUGAAUAUGCUAAUAAA